rnacentral:rRNA from 1 species
GAUGAACGCUGGCGGCGUGCUUAACACAUGCAAGUCGAACGGUGAACGAGGGAGCUUGCUCCCUCCGGAUCAGUGGCGAACGGGUGAGUAACACGUGAGCAAUCUGCCCUGGACUCUGGGAUAAGCGUUGGAAACGACGUCUAAUACCGGAUACGAGGCGUGGGGGCAUCCCCAACGCCUGGAAAGAACUUCGGUCCAGGAUGAGCUCGCAGCCUAUCAGGUAGUUGGUGAGGGAACGGCUCACCAAGGCGACGACGGGUAGCCGGCCUGAGAGGGUGACCGGCCACACUGGGACUGAGACACGGCCCAGACUCCUACGGGAGGCAGCAGUGGGGAAUAUUGCACAAUGGGCGCAAGCCUGAUGCAGCAACGCCGCGUGAGGGACGACGGCCUUCGGGUUGUAAACCUCUUUUAGCAGGGAAGAAGCGAAAGUGACGGUACCUGCAGAAAAAGCACCGGCUAACUACGUGCCAGCCGCCGCCGUAAAAC